rnacentral:lncRNA from 1 species
AUGGAUAUCAUGUUGAAUUGAUUUUUAUUAAGUGCAUGAUUUCAAUGGAUAUCAUGUGAUCUUCUAAUAUCGUUAUUCUUUUAUAUAUAUAAUUCUGCUUAUCAAGUAUCAGUAUAAGUUGCAAAGUCCUUUACAUUGUGUUUUCUCUUCCACAAAUGAUAAGGCUAUUAUACGAGAAAACCAUUAUAUACCAAAAUCUAUUGUUUUACUGUCUGUGACAGAAAAUUCCCGCAAGCAUAAUUGUAGUGGUGGUUAGGGCAAUGAAAACACUACUUUGUUGUAGUUUUGUCAAGGAUAUGUUAAUAUUGAUUACUAACAAUUUUCUCGAUAUGCGAGCAUCAAAGUUCGACAGCAAGCGAUUGGAUUUCGAGUUUAAAAAAAAAAAGAAAAUCGGAAGCAAGCCGAGUCCAGCCUUAGGUGCAGGUCCUGUUCAAGUUGGACGACCUUAUCUUUAUUGUCGCUGAGUCGAAGAAUAAAGAAAGUGAAGGAUAAUAAUCUAUCGCUGGACCGUCAUCCUCACCUUAAUAUCCACAAAUAUUAUGGAGUAAUAUCAGGUUCGAUCUUUCCAAAAUUGUCAUUGGUGGAACUGACAUACUAUUUAUCCGAUGUUAUAUCAUUUAUUCAAAGUAUAUAAAACUCUACAAACUAAGAUUAGUUGCUGCUGCAAGGUCGUUUUAAAGAUUUUCAAUGAGAUAGUGAAACACUCUUGGAGGUAUUAAUCCUGCUCUUGAAUAACUUUGCUAUAUAUGAUAACUUAAUAUAUAGAUUAUUGCCAUGGCAAAACAACAUCAAUUUAUGAAGACGAGCAUGUGAAUUUUAUGAAAGUCCCUCUGUUACCAGAAUUCAAUUGUCAUGUUAAUUAUUGUGAUGCAUAUACAAAUGUGUGGGCAAUCACCUGACUUGCUAUCAUUCUUCGAUGACCUAUCGUUUUUGCAAUAUUAUGUUUUAUUUAUUCUAAGGCAAAUGUUAACUUACACCCUCAAGGAUUCUUUGCUGAUGCUUUCUUCUUUGAAGGAGAUCCCCCGGACGAGCUUGCUCUUUCUUUUCCACCUCUUUUUGAAGCCAUAGCCUAGACCUUGGUUUGACUUGGUGUGAUUUUGGGGAAGGUUAGGUUUUGGGAAUGUUUUUGGUGGAAAAGGUUGGUUUAGUUAUGGGGUGAAGGUUUAAGUGAGUUUUAUGAGUUGGGUUGUGGAGAUUGGUGAUGAAUUUGUGGUUUUCGUGUUAGGUCAAAUGGGAUUACGAAUUUGGGUGAUUUUGGGUUUGGGUGGAUGAAAGUUGUUUUUGAUUUGAGGGUUAUGGUUGUAAUGAUGUUUGGGAUUGAUUGGGUGAAGAAAUUUUGUGAUUUGGUGAAGUUUUGAUGGAGAUAUGAAGGUUUGAAGGUUGUUGGAUAUGGAGGUUUUAGAGAGAAGUUUAAAGGAGGAGAGAUGUUUGUGUUGGAGAAUGAGGGAAGAAGAAGGAAAAUAUGUGUAUAUUCCUACCUGGGGUCGGGCACGGCCAUGCCAGCUAGGGGCACGGGCCGUGCUGAGCUUCUGGUGUUUUUGUGUGUUUGGACAUGGCAAGGGCUGGCACGGUCGUGCUAGUGGGAGCACGGGCCGUGCCAUGCUUGGACGAAUACCUACCAAACAAUUUAAAACAACGAAAAACAAACAAAACAAAAGCAGUUAAAUGCGUGGGUUGCCUCCCACGAAGCGCUCCUUUAGAGUCAUUAGCUUGACGGUUAGAAAUCGUCCUUAGAAAGGAUCAAAGAGAUCAUAUUGUGUAGAUGACACUAAAAAGCGUUCUUUCACAUCAUGGUCUUUAAUCAUGCUACAAGAAUAAAGAGCGGGACCUUUCAUAACAUUCUCCAACUCAAAUCCUACCAUCUCAUCAGUCACUUGAAAAACAAUCAUACCAUUCUUAACAUCAACUAUAACACCAACAAUAGUGAGAAAAGGUCUUCCUAGUGUAACGCCCUCUCUAAUUAUUUGAUUAUUUUUAAUGAGUUUAGAAUAUACUUAUAUGAUUUGUGUGAUUUAUAUGAUUUAUUUUGAUGAGUGAUAUUUUGUUAUGAUAUAUGUUAUAUAUUUAUUAAUAUAAUAUAUAUGUUAUUUGAUUUAGAAAUAUAUAUAUGUUAUUUGAUUUAGAAAUAAAUGUGAUUUGUUAUAGAAAUAAAUGUUAUUUAUGAUUUGUUGUAGAAAUAUAUUUCAUUUUCUAUGAUUUGUUGUAGAAAUAAAUGCUAUUUCAUUUUCUAUGAGUUGUUAAGUUGUCGAUGAAUUAUCAUCCAUGAGUUGUCGAGUUGUGUUCUACCCAUGUGAAUUAUAUGGUGUUGACUAAGAUAUUGAUUAUGAUAUUGUUAUAUUGCUAUGUUGUUUAACAUGUUGAUUAUGAUAUUGUUACGUUGCUAUGUUCUCUAACAUGUUGAUUAUGAUAUUGUUAUGUUGCUAUGUUGUCUAACAUGUUGAUUAUGAUAUUGUUACGUUGCUAUGUUGCUUAAGAUAUUGAUUAUGAUAUUGUUAUAUUACGUUGUUUAACAUGUUGAUUAUGUUAUUGUUAUGUUGCUAUGUUAUGUUAUUGAUGAUGAUCGAAUGUUGUGAUUACUUGGUAAUUGUUUAUCAAAGAUUUAUGAUGUUGAUUAUGGUGUCAGUAUGUGUUGAUUAUAUUUAUAUAAGAUGAUGAAUACGUUGUUGUUAUAUUUUUAUAAGAUGAUGAAUACGUUGUUGUAUUAAUAUAAGAAGAUGAAUAUGUUGUUAUAUUAUUAAAUUAUGACGAGAUGAUGUAUAUAUAAUUAUUAUUAUUGUUAAGUGAAUAUUAUGUUAUGUUGUUGUUAUAUUAUUAUAAAAUGAUGACUAUGUUGUNUGUUAAGUGAAUAUUAUGUUAUGUUGUUGUUAUAUUAUUAUAAAAUGAUGACUAUGUUGUUGUUGUUAUAUUACUAUAAGAAGAUGUUUAUGUUAUGAUGUAUAUAAUUAUUAUUAUUAUUAUUAAGUGAUGAUUAUAUUGUGUAGUUUAAGUUAUUAGUGAUGAUGAUUACAUGAUGUUAUCUAGGAGUUGCUAAAUGUAUUUGAUGAUGGUUAUGUUAAGUCGAUAAGUUGUCUUCUAUUCAUGAGAUGUUUGGUGGAGAAAUGUUAUUACAAAUUAAUGAUGUUGUUAUGUUGUAUAUGAAUUGUGAUUAAGAUGUUAUGUCGAAUAUGAACUAUGAGUAUGAUGUGAUGAUCUAUGUUGUUAUGAUUUGGUUAAUACGUGUUAUAUGAUUAUGUUAUAAUGGGGUGAAUAUGAAGUAUAUGAUAACUAGAAGUUGGUUGGACUAUUAAAGAUUAUACAUGAAGAAUUAUUAUUACUAAUAGAUGAAGUUAUUUGUGUUGUUAAAUAUAAUUAUUGAAUUAUAUGCUUGAUAUUAUUGUUUUGUGAAAUCUCACCCCUUCUGCUUGAAAAUGUUGCUCUUCGUAUGGGUAACUUGCAGGUGAUCGAGUUUAAGUUGCUGUUGUGAGUGGAUUAGCUCUCAUGUGUGUCUUUAGGUGCUCUGAUACGUAACGGGAUGGGAAUUUUUAAUGUUGUCUUUCUAUUCCUUACGUAUUGCUUAAAGAAUUUUUAUGAAUAAGAUGUUGAUCGGAUUUGUAUGAUAUAUUAAUGAUGAGGCCUUGUGCCAAAGACUAUUUUAGAUGUUGAACUAAAUUCCGCUGCGAAGUAUUAAAGAUUUAGUUAUUGAAUUUU